rnacentral:rRNA from 1 species
AGUAUGGCUGUCGUCAGCUCGUGCCGUGAGGUGUUGGGUUAAGUCCCGCAACGAGCGCAACCCCUGUCGUCGGUUGUAGAUGUCCGACGAGACUGCCACGAUCAACGUGGAGGAAGGCGGGGAUGACGUCAAGUCAGCACGGCCCUGACAUCCUGGGCGACACACACGCUACAAUGGCCGGGACAAAGAGUAGCCAACCCGCGAGGGGGAGCCAAUCUCAGAAAGCCGGUCUCAGUUCAGAUUGCAGGCUGCAACCCGCCUGCAUGAAGGAGGAGUGCUA